rnacentral:rRNA from 1 species
AUUGAACGCUGGCGGCAGGCUUAACACAUGCAAGUCGAGCGAGCGGCGGACGGGUGAGUAACACGUGGGAACCUACCCAUCAGAGGGGGAUAACACUUGGAAACAGGUGCUAAUACCGCAUACUGAUGGAUGGACCCGCGGUGCAUUAGCUAGUAGGUGGGGUAAUGGCUCACCUAGGCGACGAUCCCUAGCUGGUCUGAGAGGAUGACCAGCCACACUGGAACUGAGACACGGUCCAGACUCCUACGGGAGGCAGCAGUGGGGAAUAUUGCACAAUGGGCGCAAGCCUGAUGCAGCCAUGCCGCGUGUGUGAAGAAGGCCUUCGGGUUGUAAAGCACUUUCAGCGAGGAGGCGUUACUCGCAGAAGAAGCACCGGCUAACUCCGUGCCAGCAGCCGCGGUAAUAC